GACGAACGCUGGCGGCGUGCUUAACACAUGCAAGUCGAACGGAAAGGCCCUGCUUUUGUGGGGUGCUCGAGUGGCGAACGGGUGAGUAACACGUGAGUAACCUGCCCUUGACUUUGGGAUAACUUCAGGAAACUGGGGCUAAUACCGGAUAGGAGCUCCUGCUGCAUGGUGGGGGUUGGAAAGUUUCGGCGGUUGGGGAUGGACUCGCGGCUUAUCAGCUUGUUGGUGGGGUAGUGGCUUACCAAGGCGUUGACGGGUAGCCGGCCUGAGAGGGUGACCGGCCACAUUGGGACUGAGAUGCGGCACAGACUACUACGGGAGGCAGGAGUGGGGAAGAUUGCACAGUGGGCGGAAGCCUGAUGCAGCAACGCCGCGUGCGGGAUGACGGCAUUCGGGUUGUAAACCGCUUUCGUCUGUGACGAAGCGUGAGUGACGGUAAUGGGUAAAGAAGCACCGGCUAACUACGUG
rnacentral:rRNA from 1 species